GAUGAACGCUGGCGGCGUGCCUAAUACAUGCAAGUCGAGCGAACGGACGAGAAGCUUGCUUCUCUGAUGUUAGCGGCGGACGGGUGAGUAACACGUGGAUAACCUACCUAUAAGACUGGGAUAACUUCGGGAAACCGGAGCUAAUACCGGAUAAUAUUUUGAACCGCAUGGUUCAAAAGUAAAAGACGGUCUUGCUGUCACUUAUAGAUGGAUCCGCGCUGCAUUAGCUAGUUGGUAAGGUAACGGCUUACCAAGGCAACGAUGCAUAGCCGACCUGAGAGGGUGAUCGGCCACACUGGAACUGAGACACGGUCCAGACUCCUACGGGAGGCAGCAGUAGGGAAUCUUCCGCAAUGGGCGAAAGCCUGACGGAGCAACGCCGCGUGAGUGAUGAAGGUCUUCGGAUCGUAAAACUCUGUUAUUAGGGAAGAAUAUAUGUGUAAGUAACUGUGCACAUCUUGACGGUACCUAAUCAGAAAGCCACGGCUAACUACGUGCCAGCAGCCGCGGUAAUACGUAGGUGGCAAGCGUUAUCCGGAAUUAUUGGGCGUAAAGCGCGCGUAGGCGGUUUUUUAAGUCUGAUGUGAAAGCCCACGGCUCAACCGUGGAGGGUCAUUGGAAACUGGAAAACUUGAGUGCAGAAGAGGAAAGUGGAAUUCCAUGUGUAGCGGUGAAAUGCGCAGAGAUAUGGAGGAACACCAGUGGCGAAGGCGACUUUCUGGUCUGUAACUGACGCUGAUGUGCGAAAGCGUGGGGAUCAAACAGGAUUAGAUACCCUGGUAGUCCACGCCGUAAACGAUGAGUGCUAAGUGUUAGGGGGUUUCCGCCCCUUAGUGCUGCAGCUAACGCAUUAAGCACUCCGCCUGGGGAGUACGACCGCAAGGUUGAAACUCAAAGGAAUUGACGGGGACCCGCACAAGCGGUGGAGCAUGUGGUUUAAUUCGAAGCAACGCGAAGAACCUUACCAAAUCUUGACAUCCUUUGACAACUCUAGAGAUAGAGCCUUCCCCUUCGGGGGACAAAGUGACAGGUGGUGCAUGGUUGUCGUCAGCUCGUGUCGUGAGAUGUUGGGUUAAGUCCCGCAACGAGCGCAACCCUUAAGCUUAGUUGCCAUCAUUAAGUUGGGCACUCUAAGUUGACUGCCGGUGACAAACCGGAGGAGGGUGGGGAUGACGUCAAAUCAUCAUGCCCCUUAUGAUUUGGGCUACACACGUGCUACAAUGGACAAUACAAAGGGCAGCGAAACCGCGAGGUCAAGCAAAUCCCAUAAAGUUGUUCUCAGUUCGGAUUGUAGUCUGCAACUCGACUACAUGAAGCUGGAAUCGCUAGUAAUCGUAGAUCAGCAUGCUACGGUGAAUACGUUCCCGGGUCU
rnacentral:rRNA from 1 species